GACGAACGCUGGCGGCGUGCUUAACACAUGCAAGUCGAACGGAAAGGCCCUGCUUUUGUGGGGUGCUCGAGUGGCGAACGGGUGAGUAACACGUGAGUAACCUGCCCUUGACUUUGGGAUAACUUCAGGAAACUGGGGCUAAUACCGGAUAGGAGCUCCUGCUGCAUGGUGGGGGUUGGAAAGUUUCGGCGGUUGGGGAUGGACUCGCGGCUUAUCAGCUUGUUGGUGGGGUAGUGGCUUACCAAGGCUUUGACGGGUAGCCGGCCUGAGAGGGUGACCGGCCACAUGGGGACUGGGAUACGGCCCAGACCCCUGCGGGAGGGAGGAGGGGGGAAUAUUGCAAAAGGGGCGGAAGCGUGAUGCAGCAACGCCGGGGGGGGGAGGAGGGCCUUCGGGUGGAAAACCGCUUUCGCCUGGGACGAAGCGUGAGUGACGGUAAGGGGUAAAGAAGCACCGGCUAACUACGG
rnacentral:rRNA from 1 species